rnacentral:rRNA from 1 species
GGCGACUGAAGCGGGAAUAGCUCACCGUGUGAAUCUGCACAAGAUGUCUUGUGCCGAGUUGUGGUCUGUAGAGGCAAUGUCAGUCAGUACUUCGGGCCAAGUCCUUUGGAAAAAGGCAGCUGAGAAGGUGAGACUCCUGUUCUUGCCUGAAGUAUAUGAUUAUGGCACAUGCUUUCAACGAGUCGAGUUGUUUGGGAUUGCAGCUCAAAUUGGGUGGUAAAUUCCAUCUAAAGCUAAAUAUUGGUGGGAGACCGAUAGCGUACAAGUACCGUGAGGGAAAGAUGCAAAGAACUUUGAAAAGAGAGUUAAAGAGUACCUGAAAUUGCUGAGAGGGAAGCGAAGGAAACCAGUGUUGUUCCAAUACAUUUUUCUCGUGCAGCUUGCUGCAGGGGCGCUGUGUAUUGGAGUAGGCCAGCAUGGGUUUGCAUCGACACAAAUGGCUGUAGAGGAGGUAGAUCAAUUUCUGAUUGAAGACUCUGUGGUUUUGUGUUGGUGUGGACUGAGGCAAGCAUGUGUGAUGCUGGCGAAAUGGUUUUCUUUACCCCGUCUUGAAACACGGACCAAGGAGUUCAACAUAUGUGCGAGUACAGGAGUGGCAAACUCCCGUGCGCAAUGAAAGUAACAGUGGUAGGACCUUUGGGCACUAUCCGCCGGCCACAAUCCUUCGGGAGAAAGGUCUGAGUGUGAGCAUACAUGUUGAGACCCGAAAGAUGGUGAACUAUGC